rnacentral:rRNA from 1 species
UACGUAGGGUGCAAGCGUUGUCCGGAAUUAUUGGGCGUAAAGAGCUCGUAGGCGGUUUGUCGCGUCUGCUGUGAAAACUCGGGGCUUAACUCCGGGCCUGCAGUGGGUACGGGCAGACUAGAGUGCGGGAGGGGAGACUGGAAUUCCUGGUGUAGCGGUGAAAUGCGCAGAUAUCAAGAGGAACACCUGAGGUGAAGGCGGGUUGCUGGGCCGACACUGACGCUGAAGCGCGAAAGCCAGGGGAGCAAACGGG